rnacentral:rRNA from 1 species
ACUACGGUGCUGAAGCAACAAAUGCCCUGCUUCCAGGAAAAGCCUCUAAGCAUCAGGUAACAUCAAAUCGUACCCCAAACCGACACAGGUGGUCAGGUAGAGAAUACCAAGGCGCUUGAGAGAACUCGGGUGAAGGAACUAGGCAAAAUGGUGCCGUAACUUCGGGAGAAGGCACGCUGAUAUGUAGGUGAAGUCCCUUGCGGAUGGAGCUGAAAUCAGUCGAAGAUACCAGCUGGCUGCAACUGUUUAUUAAAAACACAGCACUGUGCAAACACGAAAGUGGACGUAUACGGUGUGACGCCUGCCCGGUGCCGGAAGGUUAAUUGAUGGGGUUAGCGGUAACGCGAAGCUCUUGAUCGAAGCCCCGGUAAACGGCGGCCGUAACUAUAACGGUCCUAAGGUAGCGAAAUUCCUUGUCGGGUAAGUUCCGACCUGCACGAAUGGCGUAAUGAUGGCCAGGCUGUCUCCACCCGAGACUCAGUGAAAUUGAACUCGCUGUGAAGAUGCAGUGUACCCGCGGCAAGACGGAAAGACCCCGUGAACCUUUACUAUAGCUUGACACUGAACAUUGAGCCUUGAUGUGUAGGAUAGGUGGGAGGCUUUGAAGUGUGGACGCCAGUCUGCAUGGAGCCGACCUUGAAAUACCACCCUUUAAUGUUUGAUGUUCUAACGUUGGCCCCUGAUCGGGGUUGCGGACAGUGUCUGGUGGGUAGUUUGACUGGGGCGGUCUCCUCCUAAAGAGUAACGGAGGAGCACGAAGGUUGGCUAAUCCUGGUCGGACAUCAGGAGGUUAGUGCAAUGGCAUAAGCCAGCUUGACUGCGAGCGUGACGGCGCGAGCAGGUGCGAAAGCAGGUCAUAGUGAUCCGGUGGUUCUGAAUGGAAGGGCCAUCGCUCAACGGAUAAAAGGUACUCCGGGGAUAACAGGCUGAUACCGCCCAAGAGUUCAUAUCGACGGCGGUGUUUGGCACCUCGAUGUCGGCUCAUCACAUCCUGGGGCUGAAGUAGGUCCCAAGGGUAUGGCUGUUCGCCAUUUAAAGUGGUACGCGAGCUGGGUUUAGAACGUCGUGAGACAGUUCGGUCCCUAUCUGCCGUGGGCGCUGGAGAACUGAGGGGGGCUGCUCCUAGUACGAGAGGACCGGAGUGGACGCAUCACUGGUGUUCGGGUUGUCAUGCCAAUGGCACUGCCCGGUAGCUAAAUGCGGAAGAGAUAAGUGCUGAAAGCAUCUAAGCACGAAACUUGCCCCGAGAUGAGUUCUCCCUGACCCUUUAAGGGUCCUGAAGGAACGUUGAAGACGACGACGUUGAUAGGCCGGGUGUGUAAGCGCAGCGAUGCGUUGAGCUAACCGGUACUAAUGAACCGUGAGGCUUAACCUUACAACGCCGAAG